UACGGAGGGUGCGAGCGUUAAUCGGAAUAACUGGGCGUAAAGGGCACGCAGGCGGGCUUUUAAGAGAGAUGUGAAAUCCCCGGGCUUAACCUGGGAAUAGCAUUUGAGACUGGGAGGCUAGAGUACUUUAGAGAGGGAUAGAAUUCCACGUGUAGCGGUGAAAUGCGUAGAGAUGCGGAGGAAUACCGAAGGCGAAGGCAGCCCCUUGGGAAUGUACUGACGCUCAUGUGCGAAAGCGUGGGGAGCAAACAGG
rnacentral:rRNA from 1 species